rnacentral:rRNA from 1 species
UACGUAGGGGGCUAGCGUUGUCCGGAAUUAUUGGGCGUAAAGAGCUCGUAGGCGGUUUGUCGCGUCUGCCGUGAAAGUCCGGGGCUCAACUCCGGAUCUGCGGUGGGUACGGGCAGACUAGAGUGAUGUAGGGGAGACUGGAAUUCCUGGUGUAGCGGUGAAAUGCGCAGAUAUCAGGAGGAACACCGGUGGCGAAGGCGGGUCUCUGGGCCGUAACUGACGCUGAGGAGCGAAAGCGUGGGGAGCGAACAGG